AACGCGAAGAACCUUACCAAGGCUUGACAUAUACCGAAAACUGGCAGAGAUGUCAGGUCCGCAAGGGCGGUAUACAGGUGGUGCAUGGUUGUCGUCAGCUCGUGUCGUGAGAUGUUGGGUUAAGUCCCGCAACGAGCGCAACCCUCGUCCUAUGCUGCCAGCGGGUAAUGCCGGGGACUCAUAGGAGACUGCCGGGGUCAACUCGGAGGAAGGUGGGGAUGAGGUCAAAUCAUCAUGCCCCUUAUGUCUUGGGCUGCACACAUGCUACAAUGGUCGGUACAAAGGGCUGCGAUACCGUAAGGUGGAGCGAAUCCCAAAAAGCCGGCCUCAGUUCGGAUUGGGGUCUGCAACUCGACCCCAUGAAGUCGGAGUCGCUAGUAAUCGCAGAUCAGCAACGCUGCGGUGAAUACGUUCCCGGGUCUUGUACACACCG
rnacentral:rRNA from 1 species